GUACAAAACACAGAAAAAGGGAGGCUAAGAAUACCAUAGAAAAUGGAGAAGCAAAAGAACUUAUAUGUACAACUUAUAGACAUGAACUAAUGAGGAGGGAAUGCUGG